rnacentral:rRNA from 1 species
UUAAAUUGAAGAGUUUGAUCAUGGCUCAGAUUGAACGCUGGCGGCAGGCCUAACACAUGCAAGUCGAACGGUAACAGGAAGCAGCUUGCUGCUUUGCUGACGAGUGGCGGACGGGUGAGUAAUGUCUGGGAAACUGCCYGAUGGAGGGGGAUAACUACUGGAAACGGUAGCUAAUACCGCAUAACGUCGCAAGACCAAAGAGGGGGACCUUMGGGCCUCUUGCCAUCGGAUGUGCCCAGAUGGGAUUAGCUAGUAGGUGGGGUAAMGGCUCACCUAGGCGACGAUCCCUAGCUGGUCUGAGAGGAUGACCAGCCACACUGGAACUGAGACACGGUCCAGACUCCUACGGGAGGCAGCAGUGGGGAAUAUUGCACAAUGGGCGCAAGCCUGAUGCAGCCAUGCCGCGUGUAUGAAGAAGGCCUUCGGGUUGUAAAGUACUUUCAGCGGGGAGGAAGGGAGUAAAGUUAAUACCUUUGCUCAUUGACGUUACCCGCAGAAGAAGCACCGGCUAACUCCGUGCCAGCAGCCGCGGUAAUACGGAGGGUGCAAGCGUUAAUCGGAAUUACUGGGCGUAAAGCGCAC